CUCUGUUCCAGAUAAAAAAAAAAACAAAAAAAAUCCUCUUUACUCCUAAACCCAGAACCCCAAAGCACUAGCUAGGAAUCAGGAUGUUGCAGAUGAAAUUGCAGUUCUUCCCUCCAUCCUUCUCAAAUACAACUGCUCUUUCUCCUUAUAAUUCUCCAAUCCUUUCUUCACCCUCCUUCGCAUCACCGUCCUCCUUCCACUAUUCCCAGUGGCCAUUAAAGCAACCCAGGAAAAAGCAGCAAUUGUUGGUGUUGUGUACUAACUCUGAGGUGGGUGGGGGUUAUUUGGAUGGGGAAUUGGGUGUACAAGACAAAAGAAGUAGAACCCAAGAAGAAUGGAAUGAGAAAUUGGACUCUUCCCAGUAUGAAGCUGUGCUCAAAGGGGGAGAACAGGUCACUUCUGUCCUCCAAGAAAUGAUUACCCUUUUGGAGGAUAUGAACAUGGAUGAAGCAUCUGAGAAGGUGGCAGUAGAAUUGGCUGCACAAGGUGUCAUUGGGAAAAGAGUUGAUGAGAUGGAAUCAGGGUUUAUGAUGGCUCUAGAUUACAUGAUUCAAGUUGCUGAAAAGGACCAAGAUGAUAAGCGCAAGUCACUAUUGGAAGUUGUCAAGGAAACUGUAUUAUCCCAUCUAACCAAAAAAUGCCCAACACAUGUUCAAGUGAUUGGCUUGCUUUGCAGAACUCCUGAGAAAGAAAGCAGGCAUGAACUACUACGUAGAGUGGCUGCUGGUGGUGGUGUCUUUGAAAGUAAGAAUGGAACCAAAGUUCAUAUUCCAGCAGCAAAUCUAAAUGAUAUAGCAAACCAGGCAGAUGAUUUGUUGGAGACAAUGGAAACUCGGCCAGUUGUUCCAGAUCGAAAACUACUUGCAAGGCUUGUUUUAAUCAGAGAGGAAGCUAGAAAUAUGAUGGGAGGUGGAAUACUGGAUGAAAGAAAUGACCGUGGUUUCAGAACACUUCCCGAAUCUGAGGUUAACUUCUUAACCAAACUGGUAGCUUUGAAACCUGGGAAGACUGUACUGGAAAUGAUAAAAAAUGUAAUGCUAGGGAAAGAUGAAGGUGCUGAUAAUGCAGCUACUGAGGAUGACACUACGAACGGAAAUAUUUCAAGUGGAAUUGCAGGAAGGCCAAGUGUAACAGGACGAAAACCACUCCCUGUUCGCCCUGGCAUGUUUCUGGAGACUGUCACCAAGGUCUUAGGUGGUAUAUAUUCCGGAAAUGUGUCUGGCAUUACAGCACAACAUCUAGAAUGGGUUCAUCAGAAGACUCUUCAAGUUCUUCAGGAAAUAGCAUUCUAGCCUUGUGGAAGUGACAGAUACUUCAUCACACUAUAUAGUAAAAGCCCAAUUUUGCCCAUAACAUGCUGUUGGAGGAAGGUUAAGCCUAGAUUAUAAUUCUGCCUUGUUGUAAAAUGUCUUUUAGCUAUGAACCUCCAAGAAACUAGUAAUUGUUGUAUCUGUAUACCUGCAAUUGAAAAAAAAAAAAAAAAAAACUCUCUACACUUUCACAAUGGAACAAUCACUGCAGUUCAAACCAUGCUUAAGUUAGUGAUUCUUGAUGGGAAAACUUGGCGGCCUCUCAUGCCUUGGAAAAUUACCAGUGGAAAGUGCAGCCUGCUUUGGCAAAUUUCUUAUGCGACAAAUGUGGUGUCUCAAAUUGGUGGCAGCAAACAAAAAAAGCUCAGACAAUAACAAGCUUAAAGAUUUACGGUUUAGUCUCUUUCUGUCGCCCCACUUUGCACUAGCAAAUGCUGUCUUCCCAUGCUCUACCUUCUUGGUGUUCUCCAUUUGCUCUCUUUUGAUCAACCAAUAAAAAAGAAUUGUUGAAUUAGCCACAUGAGCCGUCUUUUCAAAUUUGUUGCCUUUACCUAAUGGUGAGAUCAAGCUAAUCACUUGCUUUAAAGAUACGAGUUUGAAAUAUGGCAAAUAUUUUGUUUCACUAUUUUUAUUGUUAAUUUUUGUUAGCAGCCAACUUUGUGAAGUGGAGUUGACCUUUCUUUUCAAAAUUGCAUAUGAAUUUGGUUGAGUUGUCUUUUUAAUUUUUCAUUGCACGCAGCCGAUCUUCUUGUUGGUCCACCAUGAAAUAAUGUGUGCAUAUUAUUCCCACUUCCUUAGAGAUGAAAUGAAUGUGAGCUUUCCGUGUUCUUUUUUCAAGUUAGAAAUUUGCUUUAAAACUUGCCAUUGCUUUGAUAUAUUACAAAUUGCUAAUAGAAGGGCCUGUUAUUGUUUAAAUUUAUUCAUUGCAAGGUAGACACCUCCCAUGAAUUUGAAAAUUUGGUUUAUUUUUCAUUAUUUCACUUGCAACUUUUCCAAUUGUACAGCGACUAAGUUAAUCUCAAACUAGUUGUGAUGAACUAUAUGAAUCAUUUUUCGCCAUU